GAACAGACAAAAAAAAAAAAAAAAAACAAUAUGUUUUAACACUUUGAUUCCACCAGCGCUUGAAAUGACGAUUCUCUGUCUCGUUUGGCAAACCCCGCACUGGAUCGAAUCAGAAAAUCCCCAAUCGAUUGGGACGAUGCCUCACCGGAAAGUUUACCAUUAGUAAAUAUACUAGAGACAAGUGCCGAAAAGUGCCGACAAGUGCCAGCAAGUGGGAACAUGAUCCAGGCAGAAUUUGUGAGAUUGAUAAGCCUCACGCAACGAACAGAGAGCGGGAAGAGGAAGAGGAAGAGGAGGAGGAAGAGGAAGAGGGCAAAGCAAGUUCAAUUCAAUGGAAUUGGAAUCAGAAACUUCCAGAUUAAACAACAAAUGGGUUUCAACAGUUGCUAGCGUAUGGAUUCAAUGCACCAGCGGAUCUCUUUACACUUUCUCCAUCUACUCUCAAAUCCUCAAGUCAACUCAGGAAUACGAUCAAUCCACUUUGGAUAUUGUUUCUGUUUUCAAAGACAUCGGUGUCAAUUGUGGCGUCCUUGCGGGCUUUCUCUACUACUAUGCCACCGCUGACGGUAAUCGUUGUGGGCCGUGGAUUGUUCACUUGGCCGGUGCAAUUCAGUGCUUCUUGGGGUACUUCUUUAUCUGGGCGGCCGUUUCUGGGGUCUUUCCUCGGCCGUCGGUUCCCGCUAUGUGCCUUUUCAUGUUGGUGGCUGCUCAUGCUCAGAGCUUCUUCAACACUGCUAACGUUGUCACUGGCGUUCGGAAUUUCCCCAGUUAUAGUGGGACGAUUGUUGGAAUCAUGAAGGGGUUUCUUGGUUUGAGUGGAGCAAUAUUGAUUCAAGUAUACGAGACAAUAUUUAAUGGACAACCAACUUCCUUUCUUUUGAUGCUGGCGCUGCUACCAACUUUUAAUUCCUUAUUGUGUAUGUCGUUCGUGAGAAUCCACCAUGCAGAUGAUGGGAUUGAAAAAGAGCAUCUGAAUACCCUAUCCAUAAUUACUCUGCUCGUUGCUACUUACCUUAUGAUCAAGAUAGUUCUAGAGCAUAUUUUCACCUUCCAAUUCUCUCUACAUGUUGCUACAUUUGUUCUACUUUUGAUGUUGCUUGCAUCUCCUCUAUAUAUUGCAAUUAGAGCCCAACAGAGAGAGUCCAAAAGGAUUUUGCACCCUUGUUUCACUGAGAGCGACCAGCUGAUUGGUUGCUCCAAUCAAGAGACUUUGGAUUUUGACCAUGAACAGAGAAGGGAAUCUGAAGAAAGCCUGAACCUCGUUCAAGCUUUAUACACAAUAGACUUCUGGAUAUUGUUUUUUGCGACUGCUUGUGGCAUGGGAACAGGAUUAGCUACAGUGAAUAAUAUCAGCCAAAUAGGGUUAUCUCUUGGUUACACAAACUUGGAGAUAAAUACUUUGGUUUCCUUGUGGAGCAUUUGGAAUUUUUUUGGUCGUUUUGGAGCUGGGUAUGUGUCGGAUUAUUUUCUGCAUUCCUACGGAUGGGCUAGGCCAUUGUUCAUGUUCAUCACUCUGACAACCAUGAGCAUUGGACAUGUAGUGAUUGCCUCUGGCCUGCCUGGUGCUCUUUUUGCUGGUUCGGUAGUAGUGGGUGUUUGUUACGGGUCUCAGUGGUCACUAAUGCCAACAAUUACUUCUGAAAUAUUUGGUGUUGUACACAUGGGUACUAUAUUCAAUGCCAUAACAGUAGCAAGCCCUGUUGGAUCUUAUUUAUUUUCCGUAAGAGUUGUUGGGUAUAUAUAUGACAAGGAAGCAUCAGGUGAAGGAGAUACUUGUACUGGAACUUACUGCUUCAUGUUAUCAUUUUUUAUUAUGGCUUCUGCCACUCUCCUGGGCUCUUUAGCAGCCCUUGGCUUAUUUUUCUGGAGAAGAAGUUUUUACGAUCAAGUUGUUAUCAGAAGGCUGCAACACCCAUCAAAUGGAUAAAAGAAUAAAUACUACAUGGUAUAUACAAAGGGAGAUGUGGUGGUUUUUCCUGGUUGCUGCUAACAAGGUUACCAAUUCCGAGGCCACCAUCAUGCAAGACUUUAGAGACUUUCUCCCAUUUAACCAAAUGAUUUAUUUUGCUACCCUUCUGACCUUCCCAGAAAAAAUUGUUCAUUAUCCUCUCAAUUUCAGAAAUUAUGUUUCGGAUAUCCACCAUGGGGUAAUCCUAAGUUGUGCAAUGAACAUGACCAAAAUCUAACUCAAUCUCAAUGCUCUAAGUGCGAAAAUUUCAGUCUCAUUCCCUUCUUUCCAAGUCAGAAUCAGCAUCACUAGUGCCUCGUGUUCUUUCAACCUGCAAGCUUAUUAUGCCUAUCAUACUCAUAUGUAAACUCAUCAGCCAAUUAUUUUGGGAACUGAAAUUUGCUUCUAGAGUAUCAUGUUUGUAGAAUUUUUGUUGUUACGUAUACAUGGUUGUAGUACGAGAAGACUACAGAUUUUUUGUGUCUGAGCCAAUAUAUUUGUAAGUCAGUUCUCUUUAACAUAAUAGUUCUUAAAGUGAGAGGAUUUGAUUUAAAAUAUUACCUUUAUGAUUAUAAUGUAUUAAUGUCUUUCUUCCGUAUUUCUAAGUUUCUUUACUCAUGUUAACCUUUGAGUUGCAAUAAAGAGGUUAACCUUGAGUUCCUUUGAAUUCUAGUGUUGCUUAGUAACUUUUGGAUCACAAAAAGGGUAUUUGGAUUUGAAUGAAAUGGGAGUUUGACCUCGAUACAAAAUAUCCUAGUUUGAAUCAAUGGAUGUGUCUGAUUAUUCAUGUGAAAAUGUUUCUCCUUUCUUGUUUUUUGUUUGUUUUUUUUUAAAUUUAUUUUAUUUUCACUUUUCCUCUUUUGGUUUUUGGAAAAGUUUGUUACCGUCACUCGGUAUAUGCUAAUUCUUUCCUAUGUCAUUUUGGAAAAAUGAGAAUUGGAACUGAGAAAUCUAAUUUUAAUCAAAUAAUGGUUUAUAAGCUCAAUUUUUAUCCAAUUUUCAACCAGCUAAAGCUAUCCUAAACUCAUAACAAAAUGGAUUUUGAGGAAUAUCUCGGAGGUUGAAAAUUUUCUUCAGUUUCUCUUCUCAAGGAAAUAACUGAAUACGAAUGAGAGAGUGCAAUCAAAAUACUAAAGUGUAUCAUUUUCUCUUAAUUGGUACACUGUUCGAAAAGACCAUGAGGAAGAAACUGAUCAUCUCCUCCUUCCACGCAAAUCCUCUAACUCUCUAGGGGACGACAUCCUUAACAAAUUUAGCAUCACCUAGAGCACCCCAUUCUUGGUAAGAGAUUUUAUGGACAAAGCUUGUUAGGUCACUACCUCAAAAGCAGAGCAAGAAUUCUUUGGAACUGGGAAGAAUUCCAUCAUAUUGGACCUUUGAAAUUUCUUGAAAGAAUAAUGUUUUAAAGGGCUAAAGGCGGCCUUGAGACUUUUCCUCCUAAAGAAUUGAGGCAUAAGCUUGAAGGUGGUAUGGUACAUAAGCCUUACAUAGUGAAUUAAAAACGUCUUACAAAUCCUAAAUGGGUAUUGACCAAGUAUGGCUCAACAUGAUAGUCAUAGACUCAUAUAAAUGCGUGAAAAAAAUCCCACCCCACAAUUUUCACUUAAUAAAAAAAAAAAAUUCUUAAGAGGAUAUCUUUAUCAUCACUACCACUACUAUUAUCAUUAAAAGGAUUGAUUUAUGUUAUAAAAUUUUGCCUUGAAUGUUCUAAAUGUCACAGUGUUAAAAGUAGUCUUAGUUCAAAUGGAGUAUUUUUGAAGAAUUUGGAAAAUCUGCAUUAUUCUUCUAAUCAGUAGACAGUGCGUAGAGAUUUUAAGCCUCAGUGCGUUUUCACAAAGACGUAAGGCUCUUAUAGUUCAAUGAAAACGUAAGUCUAGAGAUUAAAGCCUAAAACUUAGAGCCUUGCCUCGAGCAAGCCUCAAGGAGUAAGCCUCAAUAGCUUUUUAAUACAUUGGGAAACAACGAGUUUUCAAAUAUGUCUACAAGGGGGAUACUCAAGAUUUUGAGAUGGUUGUUUCUAAUAACAGUUCCAAUUGGAGUGCUGACGUAAAGCUUUUGUAACUACACUGCACCCUUGUAUAAUUUGGAGUUCUUUUUGUAAUCACCAGUCCCUCAAGUAGCUACCCAUUGUCUGGAUUUUGGGGACACUUCUUUUCAUUGUACUUAAUGAAAAAAUCUUUUUAUUAUUCCAGAAAAGGUCAAGAUUCCGCUUCUAGUUUUAAAACUGAACACAUCUCAAAACUUUGCCUUUAUUGGCUUUCAGGAAAUGGAGUCACUGUUCCUCUCAUGCCGGCAUGUGGGUCAUAAUUGAAUUUAAGAUUAAAUAUGGUUAUACAGGGUUUCUAUAAGAAUUGCAAACAAUGGAAAGUUUUGCUAGUAUUCCUAAUUUUCAUAUGCAUGCCGUGGAGCAAUGAGUUUACUUAAACACCAAUUGUGAGUAUUAUUGGUUCAUAUAUAUAUGCAUGCAUGUAUGUAUGUAUAUGGUAUUAUUGGUUCUUUUUUUUUUUCUUAAAGAAAAAUAUUGGUUUAGCUACUCUAAGCAUAUAUAUGUUGCCUCUUGCCUUCCUGCAUCAGAAUCCCUCUCUGAAGUUUGAUUUUCACGUUACUUCUCUCCUUGUCAGGGGCAUAAUGAAUUUUUUUCUUUGUUUUAUGUAGUUUAUUUUUUAUUCGUCAAAAUCGCCUAGAUCACCUUUAGGGGUUUAUUUCAUGUUAGAUGAUCACAUGUCUCUCUCUUCCCUUCCCUUCUCCCCGAAGAAACAGAAAAUUAUCCUGUGUUAAAGUAAAUUAGGGUUUUAUUCCUAAUUAGUAUUUUCCUUUAUAGUUUUUCCGUUCUUGGUUUCUUUCCUUUGUUGGGUUUGUUGGUGUCUAUUUAUUCGCCUUUGUGCUGUAUUCUGAUUAAGUUGAUUAUUCAAUAAUAUAUACAAAAAUAACAUGGUAUUAGAGCUUUAAGUCCUAGGGUUUAUAUUUUCAGCCUCUAGUUCUGUCCAAUCUCUACCUCCAUUGAUCCCCCCUCGACAGAGGUAGAUCUAGAUUUGGUUCACCUGCUUGGUUGAUUCUACGUUCUUGUUUUUCAGUUCUAACCUCUGUUAUGUUUUUUGAUCUUCCUAGGUCUCUGUUCCGUUUUCAAAUCGGUUGUUCGUGGGUUCUAUUUUCAUAUCUUUAUGUAGAUCUCUGUUUUUAGAUAAGAAGUUUGUGGGUUCUGUUUUUAGAUCUUUAUGUAGGCAUCUGUUUCCAACCUAGAAGUUCGUGAGUCUCUGUUUCCAGUCCAGAAGUUCUCCGUGUUUUAGUUCUUUGUGGCUUAUGUUUUCAGCCUAGAAGUUCUCUGUGUUUUAAUUUUUCGUGGGUUCUAUCUCCGGCCCAUAUCUGCCAUGAUUUGAUUCAGGAGUUUUCUUCAGUUUUCAUCAUCUGCUUUAGUCGACCGCCUCACAAACUCUUGUUGGUUGUUACUCUACUACCUUGAGUUUGAGUGAGGGUGUUAAAGUAAAUUAGAGGUUUAUUCCUAAUUAAGUUGAUUAUUUAAUAAUAUAUACAAAAUUAACACCCUGCACAGAUUAACACUGGACUGGUUUAUCUAGUAUAACCAAUUCUUUGGUUUUGACGGACCUCUACGUGCUUUGAAAUUGAAUUAAACCUCAAUAUGUAUCAUUUGUGCUGGUCUAAAUAAAAAUAAAAGGAAAAAGGUGAGGGAUGGGGAUUCUGAAGAAGGAUCCAGUAAUUGGAAAUGUUGAGCAAUUCAUGAUUGUGUUUGAUUCUAGGGAGAUUCCCAAUUCCAAAAUGAUUAGUGGUCCGUUUCUGGAAGCUGGAUAGAGUUCAGGUGUGUAUAUUCUUGGUAUACUUCAAGGUAUCUUUGUUUAUCUUUGAGAUUUCCAAGAAUUUCAAUUUGCUUCCACCUGUUUGGCUCCCUUGUAUAGUUUGCCAUUUCUGACUGAGAAGAGGUGGUUGACUAUUGUUCAUUUGUUCUGUUGGUAAACUUAUGGAAUAAUGCGUUAGAUUCUAUGGAUUUUUGUUUUGGUAUUCUGAAAUGUCAAUUACUUUAGUGCAGGAUAACGUUGUCCUUGACUCUUCUUCAGAUAUAACUAUAGCUCAUAAGAACAUAGCUUUUAAGAAGUUUGAGAAUAUUCUAAAUUUAUAGAAGCAAUCAAGGACAUGAAGGUUUGAUUAUAUAUCCUUCUUAGGCAUCUCGGUCUUGUUCUUGAGGUUUGCUAAAGUUGCAUUUUUACGCUAAUCUGGUUGCCUCCUGAAACUCUAUAUUUUAGUUUGUCAUUUCUUGAGAAAGAUGUGGUUAAGCUGUUGAUCCUCUGGUAAACUUAUGGAAUGAUUUUUUUCUAUGGAUUUCUGUUUUGAGAUUCUUGCAGGAUGAUUUAUUGUAUAUUUUCUCGUCAUUCUAUCUUUCUGUUCCCAAGUCUUGUACCCAAUUUAUAAGUUUAAAAGAAUAGGAAAGAAGUUGUCUGUGUCUAAUAGAUGCUAUCUUAUGUCAAAUUUUCACAUCUACCGUUCUUUUAUUUAUUUGUGGCAGUGUAGCUGUGAACAUUAAUACCUGUGCAAAAUUCAUAAUGAAUUUAUAUUCAAGUUUUUUCCUACAUAUCACAAAUUCGUAAUGAAUUUAUAUUCAAUUGCCUUGCUACCUAUCACGGUGGCUAGGCAUGCAUAAUUAUGCUUUAGGCCUAUCAUUCUUACUCGACUUUCUAAAUCAAGCAGGUAGUUCAAUUCUUUUGUGAAAGCUUUCGCUGUUGGGACUCACAUUUGAGCACAUCUUUGACACUUUGAUCAGUCCCAUGUAAGGCAGCUUCAUUCAGGAAUGUGCCUAGUUGUACAAAUACCACGUGAUCUUUUUCCAUCUAGUUUUUAUACAUGAACUCCCUCAUUAGUUCUCCAAAGACCUGGCGAGCUUUUUCUAUCUAUUUUUUUCCAUUAGUUUCUUCUCCCUCUUGUAAGUUUCUUUUCCCCAUUUGUUUUGUCAGCGAGUGUCGUUCUUUGUUCUUUGUUCUUCAUUAGGUUUGUUUAUUUAGCAACUUUAUAUAUAAGAAAGUUUAUAGCCGGUAUUGUUUAUAUGCUUAAAAGCUACUUUGUACCGAAUACUACUUGACAUUUUGUAAUAUAUAUUGCAUUUCAAAUCUCACAUGAGCAUAGCCUAGCUGCCUGUGUGCUUUGCACCUUAAAACACGACGUAUAGAAUAUUUUCUUGAAUGAAAUUCUUUUAACACUACCGAACCAUUUAACCAAUUAUGUUCCCACCUUUUGGAUGAAGUCAUUGUAGUUGAAUCUCCAGUUCCACGUUCCAGCUCUGAUUUUUUAGGUCCCGGCAUCCAACCAAGCUAGAGGACUCCUAUUUUGAGAGCAAAAUCAUAAUUCUAUGCCAAUAUCUGCAGAACCUGUUGUGUCCGUCCUACAACAGAUGCUGUUGUGAAGCAAGAAUCAGCCAGAAUGGAUGACUCUAACCUGGCUUUGUGGAGGACAUGAAAGCCCCUAGUUCACUUGAUAGAGAACAGAGUUCAGGGUUGGCCAAGUGCAAGAGAAAGGAGGUUCAUACUUUCAACGCACAAACUGAAAUGUAUACGGGGAUAUUCUUCUGGGAUUCUAGCCAAAAUCUCACAUCAUCCAGGUUGUUCAUGUCACUUUGCUUUUGUAGUUGGAAGCCCUUUACCUUUACCAUUUAUUCGUUGAAUUGAAAAGAAGAAAAGAAGCUGCUAAGCUAUAGCUGUAGUAAUCUGAGGGGAAGGAAUGGAUCUCUGCAGAUCUUGUUCGUUACUCGGUUGCCGCUUCCUCCCUUCUCCCUCAAUCUGAUUUACUGUCCAGUGUAAACUGUUGGCUAUUGUAUUGCCUGAUGGUGUGAAGAAUCUGACAUACAUAAUUUGGCAUCAGAAAGUAUGUUUAUAAUGCAUAGGAAUCUGAAUUCUGCACCAGGUAAUGGGUAAAGAAAGUAACAAUUUACAAAA